rnacentral:tRNA from 1 species
UGUAACUCAGUGGUAGAGCACUUGCCUCGCAUGCAUGAGACUCUGAGUUCAAUUCCCAGCA